UGGGCAACCUGCCCUCAGCUCUGGGAUAACUCCGGGAAACCGGGACUAAUACCGGAUACGACCUUCCCUCGCAUGGGGGUUGGUGGAAAGUUCUUCGGCUGAGGAUGGGCCCGCGGCCUAUCAGCUUGUUGGUGGGGUGACGGCCCACCAAGGCGACGACGGGUAGCUGGUCUGAGAGGACGACCAGCCACACUGGAACUGAGAUACGGUCCAGACUCCUACGGGAGGCA
rnacentral:rRNA from 1 species